rnacentral:lncRNA from 10 species
CCAUGUUCUAGUAGUGAAGGAUCAAGAACACUGUAGUAGCAGUCAAAGGAGAGUGUGCUGUUAGAUGAUGCUGAAGAAGUCACAAGGGACAAAGCCACACUUUGUGCACGUCAAGAACUUGGUCUUCGAUCUACGUGCACUAAGUCACGGGCAGGUGGAGUGAAAUAACCAGAUUUGAUUAAUACAUGACUUUCCCAUUGGGCGGAAAGCUUCCUGGGGGCGGGGCCCACGCCCCGCCUCAUUCACCGCUGCAUCCCCGGAAUCUAGAGCAGGAACUGGCACAUAGCUGCUCAGUAAGCAGCUGUGGCCCAAUGAGCAGAUGGGGUUUGGGCGGCGUCGAGAACAGAGGCGUCCCUUCCAUCCAGCCGCCCAUAUCCACAGCCUCCAUUUCCCAAGGCGCCGAUGCAGGCGUGGGGGAGCGAAGGCACCAGAGGGAGACCGGGACCGGCCCGCGAGCAGCCUCCGCUCCCCGGUCCCGGAGGGGCCGCCCUGUCUCCCUCCACUGAGGCAGCAGGGACGAAGCCGACAGCCUUCUCUAGAGGUGCAGUGCCUGAGCCUAGCAAGGACUCCUAGGCGACAAACCCCAACACUCACCUCAGGAAAAACAGAAAGCGGUGUCACCAGACUGCCAAAGGGUCUUUGCACAAAAAAGCUGUCCUCCUUAGAGGUAAAGACCCAGACACGUUAAGAAAGACCAGGUCAGCAGGCCAGGCGCGGUGGCUCACGCCUGUAAUCCCAGCACUUUCGGAGGCCAAGGCGGGCAGAUCACCUGAGGUCAGGAGUUCGAGACCAGCCUGGUCAACG